GAUGAAGAACGUAGCGAAAUGCGAUAAGUAAUGUGAAUUGCAGAAUUCAGUGAAUCAUCGAAUCUUUGAACGCACAUUGCGACCGCCAGUAUUCUGGCGGGCAUGCCUGUUCGAGCGUCAUUUCAACCAUCAAGCCCCAGGCUUGUGUUGGGGACCUGCGGCUGCCGCAGGCCCUGAAAACCAGUGGCGGGCUCGCUGUCACACCGGGCGUAGUAGAUUUUAUCUCGCUCAGGGCGUGCUGCGGGUUCCGGCCGUUAAAAAGCCUUUUUUACCCAAGGUUGACCUCGGAUCAGGUAGGAAGACCCGCUGAACUUAAGCAUAUCAAUAAGCGGAGGA
rnacentral:misc_RNA from 1 species